AAUCAACGCUGGCGGCGUGCCUAACACAUGCAAGUCGCACGAGAAAGGGGAGCAAUCCCUGAGUAAAGUGGCGCACGGGUGAGUAACACGUGACUAACCUACCCUCGAGUGGGGAAUAACCUAGAGAAAUCUGGGCUAAUACCGCAUAACACUUACGAGUCAAAGCAGCAAUGCGCUUGAGGAGGGGGUCGCGGCAGAUUAGCUAGUUGGCGGGGUAAUGGCCCACCAAGGCAAUGAUCUGUAUCCGGCCUGAGAGGGCGCACGGACACACUGGAACUGAAACACGGUCCAGACUCCUACGGGAGGCAGCAGUGGGGAAUUUUGCGCAAAUGGGGGAAACCCUGACGCAGCAACGCCGCGUGGAGAUGAAAUCCCUUGGGAUGUAAACUCCUUUCGAUAGGGAAGAUAAUGACGGUACCUAUAGAAGAACGCCCCGGCUAACUUCGUGCCAGCCGCCGCUGUAAG
rnacentral:rRNA from 1 species